UUAAGUAGAGUCUCAUCUCUCUGAUUGAAAUCGGAGCUGCCCCAAAUCAUAUAAUGGACGUUGGCAUCAGCGCCCACCACCAAUACCUGUUUUCUAAAUAGGCUCAUCCUUAACUUCCUUUACAUCUGUAGAAAGACUGAGGUGAGGAAGAGUAUACAUUUUUGUCCACCUUGUAAAUCACGCUGUAAUUUUGUGACUUCAGCUCCCUCAAAAUGCUGAGUAAGUAUCUUCUCCGCAUUUUGAAUGACAUGCGAAGUCGCCAUCAUAUCUUCUAUGCCGACAUCUUCAUCCUCUUCACCUUUUACCAGCGUGUUUUAUGCUCCACGACCUUCAGUUUUCCCACACAUUCGGAAGCUUUUUACAAGUAGUCGGCUUGGCUUGGCAUUCAGAUUCUCGGUUAGACCCCUGUAUUUCUCUUUUUCGAGAGUGCUCUCGCAAGUAUUACAUUGAAAAUAUUGAAAACGGAUAGUUCGUAAGUUGCUUAUAACAGCAUAGCAAAUAAAGAUAUUGUAUACCAUGAGGAGGAAAAAAAAAUAUUUUGCUGUAUCUCUCUUCUUCUUCUUUACUGGCGUAGACACCACUUACGCGAUUAUAACCGAGUUAACAACAGCGCGAGUCGUUUCUUCUUUUAGCUACGUGGCACCAAUUGGAAAUUCCCAGCCAGGUCUUUCUUCACCCGGUCUUUCCAACGGAGUGGGGGUUUUCCUCUUCCUCUGCUUCCCGCGGCGGGUACAGCGUCGAAUACCUUCAAAGCUGGAGUGUUUUCGUCCAUUCGGACAACAUAACCUAGCCAGCAUAGCCGAUGUCUUUCAAUUCGCUAAACUAUGUUAAUGUCUUUAUACAUCUUAUACAACUUAUCGUUCCAUCGAAUCCGAUAUUCGCCAUGGCCAACGCGCAAAGAACCAUAAAUCUUUCGCAGAACUUUUCUCUCGAAAACUCGCAACGUCGUCAUCAGUUGUUGUCAUCGUCCAGGCCUCUGCACCAUAUAGCAGGACGGGAAUUUUGAGUGAGUGUCGAGAGAGGACUUUACUUUUCAAUUGCCUACUCAGUCCGAAGUAGCACCUGUUGGCAAGUUAUGGCUGUCAACAGUGACGUGAGAGCCAAGCCGCGAGUGUGACGAUUGUUUGUUUGAUGACAGGAGAUAUUUCGUCUUGCCCUCGUUGACUACCAGACCCAUUUGCUUUGCAGAAAAAGCAGAACUAACGGCACCGGUGUUGAGGCCAAUGAUAUCAAUAUCAUCGGCAUACGCCAGCAGCUGUACAUUCUUAUAAACGAUUGUAAAUUGGUUUUUGAUACUUUUAUUUUGAAUAAAUAUUCUGAGUAAGUGACAAAAUGGCAGAAAACAUGUAUUUGGUGGUGUUCAAAGCAAUCCGUCAUAGUACAUUAAACAACACCACAUAAUUUCAAUGCAUUCUAGAGCUCUAUUGUAGUACAAAAUUUCAUUUGCUUCGAAACAGAAAUUCAAAAUUAGGUUAACACACAUAUGGUUUCAUUAGUAUAUUACAAUCUGUCUUUGGCAUUACAUUUCUGCACCUUAAAUAUCUUUGGUUUAUGUUUUAAAUGUUGCAAAGGUAUCGGUCAGCAAACGUGUAAGCGACUUGCACAAACACAUUGAAACAUUUCCAGCUGUUCACCAACCCUGUUACAUUUUGUACAAUUUUCGAUUAAGUGAGAGAAAGCGGAAGUAAGAAAUAGGAAAGCUAUCGACAUUCAAGCUUAUCGAAAUAUUAAUAUGUUAAACGAGAAAAGGCAAUUUUUCAAGUAGAAAAAUUAAUAACAGAAGCUGGGAAUUGCCCAAUAGUUUAGCUGGUUUUGUCGUUUCAACAAGUAAGCUCUUAUUUGAUAAAUAUUUUAAUUUCGAAUAAUUUCUUUAAUAUACCUAUAUAUAGAAUGAAGGCGAAUUUUUUAACUAAAACUUUUUUUCACUACAUUUAACACACAGGAAAAUGAUCGCUGUCAUUCGAUAAUAAGUACAUAUGAGCAAUUCGCUGAAAUUUCUCUUUUUCGGUGUAAUUCCUCUUUCUUUAUUUAUAAAAUUUAGUUUUAAUAAAAUAUUUGUCUAUUUUUUUAUAUGUAUUUUAAAUUAAAUUGAGCAUAAACAAUCUUUCAAUGCAUUAGGAUAUUUUCUUAUUAAAAUUUAAGGUGAUAUUCUCAUGUAAUCACUUCGAAAAAUCGAUUUUUUUUUUAUUUUGGCAGUAAAACCUAUUGAAAACAUGCUGGCCGAAAUUCAUAGUAUUUGAUAAAUUACAGCUCAUAGUCGCCGACGUGUCGUAAGCGACUGUUUACCAGGCGCCAUGACAAGUCUGCAGCUGCUACGUUUCUAAACGUAUUUUUCUCGAAUCAUCAUUUUCUGAAACUGUCAUGGUCCUAAAAAAAAAAAACAUUCAACCGAUUGCUUUAAAAUUUACAUAUGUUCUUCUACUCAUUCAUAGUUAUCGUCCCUACCAGAAUUUAUUUUAUUUUCGAAAAUAUUUCCUUUUUUUUAAACGAUUUUUAACGAAAAAAACAAGAUUUUCCUGACUUUUUUUUAAGUUCAACAGUUUUUUUUUUAUGAAACUGAUUAUAUUUGGUAGGAAUUACUGGUAGAACUACUGAAUAAUAAUCCAUUCGAGUUUUUGUAUUUCAAAGAACAUAAACAGCCGAUAUCAGCAUGACCAAUGAACUACUUUUUUUGUUGGGGACUACUUUGAUUUAAAAAAAAUAUAGAAAUAUUAAAAAGUGAGAAACGAAAAAAAAAAUUUUUUGUACAUUUCAAAAUACAACUAAAAAUAUAUUAAAAAAUUAAAAUGAUUGAAUUUUGUUGUCGCAUAAAAAAAAUUUUCCUAAAAAGUGGUAAAAUGUAUGCGUUCACAUGAGAGUACCCCCUUAAUAAACAAAUAAGUAAUAUAAUAUUACGCAAUAAAAUAAUAUAUAAAAUACUUAGGUUACCCCGGGUAUAGGAAUACAACUCAAAAGUACUAGCCACCCCGAGUAUUGGCUCGACCAGGGCCCGAAUCGCAAAUAUUCAAUAUACGUUUAUACAAUAUGUAUAAUAAAGUGUAUAUAAAUUUACUAAAUUUAGUUUUUGCAUUCAAUAAAAUGAACCCUAACGUGUUUUUUAUACAAGUUCGUCUGAUUCAGAUGAAAAAUAUCAUCAAAUCGCCAUGCCGCAUUCAGGAUUCGUGAUAAAAGUAGUCCCAUGGGCCAUGGCUUUACCUGAAGCAGCAUUCAGGAAGCGGUUUAGACUGACCAAAGACGCAUUUACUUUCACCCUAUCGGAAAUAAAAUUUAGCGGGCAUUUAUCAAUCACAGUACCAUCAAUGCUUGGAUCAGCCAGUGGGCCGGUGAAAAAUUCUCAGCAAUGAAAAAUAUAGUCGGUAUAGUCCUGAAAAGGUGGCAAAGUUCGGCGUUGAAUAACAUCUGCAUACACUUUAAAAAUAUAUUUUGUAAAUGGAAGCAAUAAUACAGAAAAAUAGGGGAAAUGAGACUCAGUUAACUAAAUUGGUCAUUAAAUUAGAGAUCUUAUUAUACUGUAUUUGGAUAAUAAUUGAAUUAAACGUUCCAGCAGCAUUUGAA